GAGUGAGCGGCACAGCUCAAAUUUGAAAUCUGGCUCUUUCAGAGCCCGAGUUGUAAUUUGAAGACGUAUCUUUGGGUCUGGCUCUUGUCUAUGUUUCUUGGAACAGAACGUCACAGAGGGUGAGAAUCCCGUGCGAUGAGAUGAUCCAGGCCUUUGUAAAGUUCCUUAGAAGAGUCGAGUUGUUUGGGAAUGCAGCUAUAAGUGGGUGGAAAAUUCCAUCUAAAGCUAAAUAUUGGCGAGAGACCGAUAGCGAACAAGUACAGUGAUGGAAAGAUGAAAAGAACUUUGAAAAGAGAGUGAAAAAGUACGUGAAAUUGAUGAAAGGGAAGGGCUUUAGAUCAGACUUGGUAUUUUCUUUGUUACUUCUUCGGGGGUUGCCUCUACAGUUUAUCGGGCCAGCAUCAGUUGGGCGGUAGGAGAAAAUCCAGGAAUAUGGCACGGCUCGGUAAGUGUUAUAGCUUUCGUGGAUACUGCCAGCCUAGAUGAUGACUCGGGUAUUGCAAUGCUGUUGCUCGCUCCUGAGU
rnacentral:rRNA from 1 species